rnacentral:rRNA from 1 species
UUGGCGGACGGGUGAGUAACGCGUGGAUAACCUGCCGUAUACAGGGGGAUAACACCUGGAAACAGGUGCUAAUACCGCAUAAGCGCACGGUCCCGCAUGGGACAGUGUGAAAAGCUCCGGCGGUAUACGAUGGAUCCGCGUCUGAUUAGCCAGUUGGCGGGGUAACGGCCCACCAAGGCGACGAUCAGUAGCCGGCCUGAGAGGGCGGACGGCCACAUUGGGACUGAGACACGGCCCAGACUCCUACGGAAGGCAGCAG